UACGUAGGGGGCAAGCGUUGUCCGGAAUCAUUGGGCGUAAAGAGCGUGUAGGCGGUCCGGUAAGUCGGCUGUGAAAGUCCAGGGCUCAACCCUGGGAAUGACCGGUCGAUACUGCCGGACUAGAGUCCGGAAGAGGCGAGUGGAACUCCUGGUGUAGCGUGGAAUGCGCAGAUAUCAGGAAGAACACCAACGGCGAAGGCAGCUCGCUGGGACGGUACUGACGCUGAGACGCGAAAGCGUGGGGAGCAAACAGG
rnacentral:rRNA from 1 species